CGAGGGGCAGCAUGGUCUUAGCUUGCUAAGGCUGAUGGCGACCGGCGCACGGGUGAGUAACACGUAUCCAACCUGCCGUCUACUCUUGGCCAGCCUUCUGAAAGGAAGAUUAAUACAGGAUGGGAUCAUGAGUUCACAUGUCCGCAUGAUUAAAGGUAUUUUCCGGUAGACGAUGGGGAUGCGUUCCAUUAGAUAGUAGGCGGGGUAACGGCCCACCUAGUCAACGAUGGAUAGGGGUUCUGAGAGGAAGGUCCCCCACAUUGGAACUGAGACACGGUCCAAACUCCUACGGGAGGCAGCAGUGAGGAAUAUUGGUCAAUGGGCGAUGGCCUGAACCAGCCAAGUAGCGUGAAGGAUGACUGCCCUAUGGGUUGUAAACUUCUUUUAUAAAGGAAUAAAGUCGGGUAUGCAUACCCGUUUGCAUGUACUUUAUGAAUAAGGAUCGGCUAACUCCGUGCCAGCAGCCGCGGUAAUACGGAGGAUCCGAGCGUUAUCCGGAUUUAUUGGGUUUAAAGGGAGCGUAGAUGGAUGUUUAAGUCAGUUGUGAAAGUUUGCGGCUCAACCGUAAAAUUGCAGUUGAUACUGGAUGUCUUGAGUGCAGUUGAGGCAGGCGGAAUUCGUGGUGUAGCGGUGAAAUGC
rnacentral:rRNA from 1 species